rnacentral:rRNA from 1 species
UACGGGGGGGGCAAGCGUUGUUCGGAAUUACUGGGCGUAAAGGGCUUGUAGGUGGCCAACUAAGUCAGACGUGAAAUCCCUCGGCUUAACCGGGGAACUGCGUCUGAUACUGGAUGGCUUGAGUGUGGGAGAGGGAUGCGGAAUUCCAGGUGUAGCGGUGAAAUGCGUAGAUAUCUGGGAGAACGACGGUGGCGAAGGCGGCGACCUGGGUCGAGACUGACGCUGAGGCGCGAAAGCGUGGGGAGCAAACAGG